UNUANCGAAGAACCUUACCUGGGUUUGACAUGUCGGGAAAUCCUGCAGAGAUGUGGGGGCCUUCGGGCGUCCGGCACAGGUGGUGCAUGGCUGUCGUCAGCUCGUGUCGUGAGAUGUUGGGUUAAGUCCCGCAACGAGCGCAACCCUUGUCCCAUGUUGCCAGCGGGUUAUGCCGGGGACUCAUGGGAGACUGCCGGGGUCAACUCGGAGGAAGGUGGGGAUGACGUCAAGUCAUCAUGCCCCUUAUGUCCAGGGCUUCACGCAUGCUACAAUGGCCGGUACAGAGGGUUGCGAUACAGUGAUGUGGAGCGAAUUUCUUAAAGCCGGUCUCAGUUCGGAUCGGGGUCUGCAACUCGACCCCGNGAAGUCGGAGUCGCUAGUAAUCGCAGAUCAG
rnacentral:rRNA from 1 species